UUUAAAUAGUUUAUUAAAAAUUUUGACUUGUGGAGUCAAGGAUAUAGUUAUGUAUUUUAAAU
rnacentral:tRNA from 1 species